ensembl:lncRNA uncharacterized LOC114789035
GGGGUUAUUCAGAAUAUUAAAUACAGUAUAUUUAAAUAUGUCAGUGGUGAUAUUAUGAAUAAGUCUCCAGGAGGGGCCACUAGAGGGAGGACCCAUACUACAAACCAUGGACCACACCUCAGUCUAAAAACCUCAAUGUUUUCCACAAAUCUCUUCAACAGACUGAAAAUGUGGUAUAAGUAAAGAUUGUAAAAAAAAACAACAAAAAAAAACAUUGUCCUCCUCUGUUGUGCUGGACGCAGCAGGUAAGUGUCAAUUUCUCUGUCUGCACUACCACCCCACAACACCAGGGGCGCUACACCGCGGUAGAUGUGGCGACUCCCCCAGCGGUGACGUCCGCAGUCAACAUCGGGGAUUAGGACGUGAACAGCUUUUAACGACAAGUGGAAUGAUGCAGAAUAUUAUUUAGCACGUAACACCGACGUUUAAUCAGUUCCAGGCGAACUCGCGGUAUGAUGAAGUCGCUCGUCGGUUACGGGGUGUCGUCCGACUCUGACAGCGACGGGAACGAGGACGGCGGCAGCGAGCCACGGAGCCGCGCGGCUGGACGAAACUUCCUCCGGGACUGCAGGUCGGCUUCCAGCGACCUCGAGGAGCGGGACGCUGCGGUGGAGCCGGCCGAGGCCCACCGCUGGCCCAACAAACUCCCUCCUCCACCCCUCGGGGCAGGCGGGUCGCUGGGGGGCAGCAGCGUGUUCGCCAACCCGUUUAAGGAGCAGGCUCAGGAGCGCCUGGACGUCCUGCAAAGACACGUGCCUCUCACGCUGCGGGCCCGGCCCACGGAGAUAGGCGGCCGGAAGAUCUGCCGAGCCUACCGGAGGGACGGCCGCUGUCGGUUCGGGAGCCGCUGCAAGUACGCGCACGACAGCGACCUCCAGGGGACAGCAGCUGCCCCGGAUGGAGCGCCGGAGACGGACGUAGGGCCGUCCAGCCCGGCCCAGGCCGACUCCGGAAGCAGAGAGAACCAGGAGAGGUGCGUGCAGGAGUCAAAGGGCGGCCGGACAAAGAAAAGGAGAGUCGGACUAAAUGACGGCCUGACGCCGCCCAAAAGAGCCGUGCGGCAGUACGCGCUGGAAAGAGAAAAGGAGCAAAUGGCUCAGUCCUGAGAACCAAGAGAAAGAGACUAAAUGGACUCCCAGUCUCGUUCGAACAUUUCAUUCCGAAUAAUUCCGUAAUCAGGACCGGACGACGGCCAGGACCCAGGAAUAUGGAUUGGAAACACAUUUUAAGACUAUUUCUGAGAGUCUGGUGUAUGUUUAAUCAGUGAAUAACACAGUAAUGGUGAAUUUUAUGGUUUAUUUCCUUUCCACUGCAGUUAAUAAAUAUCUGUUCU